UAACUUCUCUUCCUCCUUCUCUAUGAUUACGCCACAGGUCCUUCAUCCUUCUCCUUUCUUUUCAUAGCCAGAGUCCUAAACGCCCAUACCAAAUUCUCAUAAACCACAAAAGUCGUACAAGUUCCUGGUAAGAUCCUGAGCGCAUUCGUACCUAACCCUUUAUACAAUGCGAGUGCGCCUUCAUUGCGCCACACUGAGGAGAUGACUGAGGGGAUCGUUAAUUUGGGGACGGCUGGUGUAGGCGUGAAAUUCUAGAUGGACCAGAGGGUUAGUGGCGUUACGAGCAGAAAAAAUAGGAUAAAGGACGGACUUGUAUUCUAGCUCGGAUGACUUGAUAAGGUCCGUGAACUAAAUUCGAUCCCAGACGUUGCGAGGGUCUUACUAGCUUUUCAUCUUCCACCUUCCAUUCUUUCCCUUCUCUCAAAUAUUUCCGCCUCUUCACCUCUGUCCGCCGCCUUUUGAUCUCCUCAUACGUGGCAAAUUGGAUGGACCCAUUCGACACACCGACAAGGGCCAACAAUGAGCCUUUGUAUAGACCACGAAUACCCUCCGUGCGAUAUAUGGAACGAAAACCGUCCCAUAAACCGCGGUAAGCGAUCGAGUCGUUUUUGGCAGUCCCAAAAACGCGGGUUUUGACGACCCAGAUAGGAUUGAAAGCAUGAAAAGAAGGCGAGCGACGUACUAGCUUCUGCAGCCGCUAAGAGAUGUUGGCCGCUUGAUGUUCUAUAGCUUGGAUCUCCU
rnacentral:sRNA from 1 species